rnacentral:tRNA from 1 species
GGAGAGUUGGGUGAGCGGCUUAAACCACCUCACUGCUAACGAGGCGCGCCGCAAGGUGCCGAGAGUUCGAAUCUCUCACUCUCCGCCA